GUCUUUUUGAGAAUAAUUUAAAGUCAAAUCUGCCCACUGAAUUAAUUUUAAAGGGCUGCAGUAUAUUGACUGUACAAAGGUAGCAUAAUCAUUAGUCUUUUAAUUGAAGACUUGUAUGAAUGAUUUGAUGAGAUAUAAACUGUCUCUUUAUUAAGUAUAGAAUUUAAUUUUUUAGUUAAAAAGCUAAAAUUUAUAUAAAAGACGAGAAGACCCUAUAGAGUUUAAUAUUUGAUUAAAAUUUAAUUUUAUAUAAAUUUUUAAAUUAAAUUUUAAUCAAAUAUUUUAUUGGGGUGAUAGAAAAAUUUAAGAAACUUUUUUUAAAAAUUUAACAUUAAUUUAUGAAUUUAUGAUCCAUAAUUUAUGAUUAUAAGAAUAAAUUACCUUAGGGAUAACAGCGUAAUUUUUUUUUUUAGUUCAAAUAAAAAUUAAAGUUUGCGACCUCGAUGUUGGAUUAAGAUAAAAUUUAAAUGCAAAAGUUUAAAAUUUUGAUCUGUUCGAUCAUUAAAAUCUUACA
rnacentral:rRNA from 2 species